rnacentral:rRNA from 1 species
GUAGGGAAUAUUGGACAAUGGGGGCAACCCUGAUCCAGCGACGCCGCGUGAGUGAUGAAGGCCUUCGGGUCGUAAAGCUCUGUUGCAGGGGAAGAACACAAUGACGGUACCCUGCUAGAAAGGAUCGGCUAACUUCGUUCCAGCAGCCGCGGUAAGACGAGGGAUCCUAGCGUUGUUCGGAAUUAUUGGGCGUAAAGCGGGUGCAGGUGGCUUGGUAAGUCAGAUGUGAAAGCCUGGGGCUUAACCCCAGAAGUGCAUUUGAUACUGCUGGGCUUGAGUGCUGGAGAGGCUAUUAGAAUUCCUGGUGUAGUGGUGAAAUACGUAGAUAUCAGGAGGAAUACCGGAGGCGAAGGCGGAUAGCUGGCCAGACACUGACACUCAGACCCGAAAGCGUGGGGAUCAAACAGGAUUAGAAACCCCGGUAGUCC